CUCUUCCUCUUCCUCUUCCUCCACCAAUUCUGUUCUCACACCAUCCUCCUCGGAUUUUAGAAGUAGGCAACCGAUCUCAAGAAGAAGUCCGCCUACAAGUGCUUAGCAACUAUCUUAUCUCUAAUCUGUUUUUGAUUUCUUGAAUCUUUCUUUCUCUAAACCCUUUCACGUUUAUUCACUACCAAGGUUUUUUCACCAUCGUUGCUGGUUCUUCAUCUAACAGUUAGGUUUCUUCAUCUCACAAUGAUGAAUCUUCGUGCCCCUUCUUCAUCACGAAGAACUAACAUGCACUUCGGAGCCUCACAAGGAGUGCGUAUGACUCCUGGAGCAACUAGGUCUACUAAUUCUGCUGCUGUUCGACAUAUUGUUUUUGAUAGGUAUAUAUAUUUUUGUGUCUAUACGUCGCAAAAAGCUACAAAGAUAGUUGUUGCUAUUUUGUAGUAUUUCCACAAAUAUAUUGUGUCUAUCUGUGGCACCCUGGAUACAUUGACAUUGUAGCUAUUUAUGACAAAUAGACACGAAAGAGUAGUAGCUA